rnacentral:tRNA from 2 species
GUUCAUGUAGCUUAAUAACAUAAAGCAAAGCACUGAAAAUGCUUAGAUGAGUCUUCACGACUCCAUAAACACC